rnacentral:rRNA from 1 species
GACGAACGCUGGCGGCGUGCUUAACACAUGCCAGUCGAACGGAAAGGCCCUGCUUUUGUGGGGUGCUCGAGUGGCGAACGGGUGAGUAACACGUGAGUAACCUGCCCUUGACUUUGGGAUAACUUCAGGAAACUGGGGCUAAUACCGGAUAGGAGCUCCUGCUGCAUGGUGGGGGUUGGAAAGUUUCGGCGGUUGGGGAUGGACUUGCGGCUUAUCAGCUUGUUGGUGGGGUAGUGGCUUACCAAGGCUUUGACGGGUAGCCGGCCUGAGAGGGUGACCGGCCACAUUGGGACUGAGAUACGGCCCAGACUCCUACGGGAGGCAGCAGUGGGGAAUAUUGCACAAUGGGCGGAAGCCUGAUGCAGCAACGCCGCGUGCGGGAUGACGGCCUUCGGGUUGUAAACCGCUUUCGCCUGUGACGAAGCGUGAGUGACGGUAAUGGGUAAAGAAGCACCGGCUAACUACGUG